ACUUGCAAAUUUCAAUACUUAAGAGUUUGCAACCAAUAUUUAGAGAUCGUAUGUAUAUAUACUUGUGUAUAUUGCAAAGAUCUGUAAUCCUUCAUAUCUCCCAGGUCACUUUAAGUACCACAGCAAAUCGACGUGGUAUAAUACUAGCUCCAUCCUAAUAUACCAGUAGCACAACUCAGUGGCAAAGAUGCAUUUUUACAAUCUAUAAAUAUAUAUAAAUUGUGACUGUAUUCUAUUUCCCAUAAUAUAGUUAUGGGAAUACAUGACAAAGUCAUUUCCCACAUCUAGAUUUGUACUGUGCCUUGUCUUUUUCUGUUCCUAAAUUCACUUCUCCAUAAGCACUAUGGAAAUUUGUAUAUGGAAGACAGCAUAUUCAUGGGAGAUUUUAAAUUCCUGGGAACUUCAAAU